rnacentral:snRNA from 1 species
GUGCUCGCUUCAGCAGCACAUGUACUGGAAUUGGAAUGACGCAGAAAAGAUUAGCAUGGUCCCUGCACAAGGAUAAUGCACAAAUCUGUGAAGUGUUCCAUACAAAA